CAGUAGCCGCGGUAAUACGUAGGGUGCGAGCGUUAAUCGGAAUUACUGGGCGUAAAGCGUGCGCAGGCGGUUAUAUAAGUCAGAUGUGAAAUCCCCGGGCUCAACCUGGGAACUGCAUUUGAGACUGUAUGGCUAGAGUGUGUCAGAGGGGGGUAGAAUUCCACGUGUAGCAGUGAAAUGCGUAGAUAUGUGGAGGAAUACCGAUGGCGAAGGCAGCCCCCUGGGAUAACACUGACGCUCAUGCACGAAAGCGUGGAGAGCAAACAGGAUUAGAUACCCGUGUAGUCCCUGUCUCUUAUAC
rnacentral:rRNA from 1 species